rnacentral:rRNA from 1 species
UACGUAGGGUGCAAGCGUUGUCCGGAAUUAUUGGGCGUAAAGAGCUCGUAGGCGGUUUGUUGCGUCGGCUGUGAAAGCCCUCGGCUCAACUGAGGAAGUGCACCCGAAACUGGCGAGCUUGAGUACGAAAGAGGAUCGCGGAAUUCCCGGUGUAGAGGUGAAAUUCGUAGAUAUCGGGAGGAACACCGGUGGCGAAGGCGGCGAUCUGGGUCGAUACUGACGCUGAGGUGCGAAAGCGUGGGGAGCAAACAGG